UAGGGAAUCUUCGGCAAUGGGGGGAACCCUGACCGAGCAACGCCGCGUGAGUGAAGAAGGUUUUCGGAUCGUAAAGCUCUGUUGUUAAGGAAGAACGAGUGUGAGAAUGGAAAGUUCAUACUGUGACGGUACUUAACCAGAAAGGGACGGCUAACUACGUGCCAGCAGCCGCGGUAAUACGUAGGUCCCGAGCGUUGUCCGGAUUUAUUGGGCGUAAAGCGAGCGCAGGCGGUUAGAAAAGUCUGAAGUGAAAGGCAGUGGCUCAACCAUUGUAGGCUUUGGAAACUGUUUAACUUGAGUGCAGAAGGGGAGAGUGGAAUUCCAUGUGUAGCGGUGAAAUGCGUAGAUAUAUGGAGGAACACCGGUGGCGAAAGCGACUCUCUGGUCUGUAACUGACGCUGAGGCUCGAAAGCGUGGGUAGCAAACAGG
rnacentral:rRNA from 1 species